UCUUACCACUGCAUUUGUCGGCUCAAUCCUUAGGAUUUCUGUGAAGAACCUGUGGGCUUCUGCAAAGUUAUUCUGACCGAGGUGAAGGAAGGCUCUGGAACGUGAACGACAGAUCCGGACGCGUCAGGCAGCACGCUGACCCCGCCGGCCAAGACCUUACCUGUGCCUGCCUUUCCUGGUCGGCGCACGGAUGCGGUAACAGAUGACCUGUCAACCGAGUGAGGCCACCUUUGAGCAGCUCCGAUGGGAACGUGUCAUAAACGGAUAAUCUUUACACCCAGCGCGGGGCUCAAACUCACAACCCCGGGAUUGAGAGUCACGCGCUCUAGUGGCUGAGCCAGCCGGGCGCCCCCACGGCACCGCGUUCUUACACGGACGGUCCUGCUUUGUCUGCUCAGUGACCCCAAAGGACACUAACGAGCAUCCACGGCGUACAGAGACAAUGCGGCUCAGUUCGGCGGCUUGCCUGGGCUCACCUGCUAGCUAAGCACCAAGAACAGACAGAAAGCUGGGUCCUCCAGCCUCUACGGUGUGCGUUCCUCAGCAUCUGGUUUGGCGAGGGUCGCCCUUAACGGCCCCACAACAGAGGCCCGAGUGCCCUGGGAAGGACUCCGAGACCACAGCUGGCCUUCACUGUCAGGCUGUCCCUGCAACCCGUCUGUGCUCCCCAGGAGCAGUAUGGCUUGUGGGAGGAGGAGAGAGGUGCGGGUGUGUGCACGUGUGCACGCGUGUGUGCGUGGAGUGAGGACGGGGGUGUGCGUGUGUGUGCGUG